CCUACGGGAGGCAGCAGUGGGGAAUAUUGGACAAUGGGGGGAACCCUGAUCCAGCCAUGCCGCGUGUGUGAAGAAGGCCCUCGGGUUGUAAAGCACUUUCAGUGAGGAAGAACGCCUGGUGGUUAAUACCCAUCAGGAAAGACAUCUCACAGAAGAAGCACCGGCUAACUCCGUGCCAGCAGCCGCGGUAAUACGGAGGGUGCGAGCGUUAAUCGGAAUUACUGGGCGUAAAGCGCGCGUAGGUGGCUUGAUAAGCCGGUUGUGAAAGCCCCGGGCUCAACCUGGGAACGGCAUCCGGAACUGUCAAGCUAGAGUGCAGGAGAGGAAGGUAGAAUUCCCGGUGUAGCGGUGAAAUGCGUAGAGAUCGGGAGGAAUACCAGUGGCGAAGGCGGCCUUCUGGACUGACACUGACACUGAGGUGCGAAAGCGUGGGUAGCAAACAGGAUUAGAUACCCUAGUAGUC
rnacentral:rRNA from 1 species